rnacentral:tRNA from 1 species
GUUAUAAUCUAAUGAAUAGAAUUAUGUUUUGAAAUCAUAAAUUAAAGGUUAAAAUCCCUUAAUAACUUU